UCCGACAAUACAAGGAUCUACGUUUGUAGAAGUAUCCUAUUACAACUUGCCCUAUUCACAAUAUCAACCUUCUCCAACUAUCUAUAGCCCAUCAUUUGAAGAGAAGGUUCUGCAAGCACUAGAUAGGAUUGAAAGCACCAAUCAGCUCCUUCACUCCUCUAUGCAAUCCUUAGCCAAAAUAAAAAUUCAAGUCGAUCAAUCAGUAAUUACAAUCAGUAGGGA
rnacentral:lncRNA from 1 species